rnacentral:rRNA from 1 species
UACGAGGGGGGCAAGCGUUGUUCGGAAUUAUUGGGCGUAAAGGGCGCGUAGGCGGUGCGGUAAGUCACCUGUGAAAUCUCCGGGCUUAACUCGGAGCCUGCAGGCGAAACUGCCGUGCUUGAGUGUGGGAGAGGUGCGUGGAAUUCCCGGUGUAGCGGUGAAAUGCGUAGAUAUUUGGAGGAACACCGGUGGCGAAGGCGGCAUCCUGGACCGACACUGACGCUGAGGAGCGAAAGCCAGGGGAGCAAACGGG